rnacentral:lncRNA from 1 species
GAGAGAGUAUCAUAAAGGUUCCUUCAUAAAAUAGUGACGAUUCUUUUGUACAUCUAAUGAUGCAUCGCCUCAUUUCUCAAGAACAAACUGUUUUAGUAUUAUUCAACUUAUAUUUUUCAGCUUUUAUAACUAUGUAAUUGUGUUUGUGUGUGUAUGAAUACAUACACACAUAUAUAUGUAUACACACACACACACACACACACUUCUUUCAAAUAUAAUUCUUCAAAGAUACUAGUUUUUCUUAGCAAUGCGAUUUCUAUAUAUAAGUCUUCUGUGUUAUUGGAGCACUGGAAUUUAUCAGCCAAAUUACCCAAGUGAUUUUGUUUGAAUAAAGUACUUGACCCAGCUCCAUCUGUGUGUAUUUUUGACUUGGCAAGAGGAAGGCACAUCUCCUAGGACUAUCCAUAUACAAUGUGGUUCCAAACCUUAGUACAUUUGCUUUUCAUUACUGUUUAUAGCUAAGGGGCCUUCUGAAUUUGGUGGGUUUUAUUUGAUCAAUUAACUAGAUCAGUAGCAGAGUAUAUAUGGCCAUAGAGUGCAUGUAGAUGGUUUCCAGUUCUCUCAGGCAUUGUGUUCAUUUGCAAAAAAAAAAAAAAAUCAGUUAAGCACUUUAUUAUUGUAUCUUUUAUCCCUGUGGAUUAUAUUUUAGCCUGUCAGUAAAUCUUCCUUACCCUUGCUUCAAAACUAUAACUUAGGAGUAUCUUAGUUUGCACUAUCUUCAAAUAUAACACAAGUAUAGCACAAGCUCAAUGCUUUUCGGUGUUCCAUUUCCCCUCAGAUGUCUGAUUUUUGUGUGAGCUUCAGCUGCUGCCUGGUUGGGGAGAAAUUCAAAGGAGGUGGGACAUAAUCUUAUUCUGGCUGAUUGGGCUGCUCACACUGAAUUAUUUCAUUAGGACAAUUGGAUUUUAUUACCAUGUUCGAAUUAGCAUUGCGAUUCUAUGUUGAUUCAAAUAUAAUUUGUCCCUUAUGACACAUUUAAAAUAGGGUCUUUCACCCUCUGUGCCAUUUCUUCUAAUGUAGAUGGUUUUCAAUUUGUCAUGAAAUUUUGUCCUUUAAAAUGACCAUUGGCAUUAAGGUAUAGCCCAGUGGGAUUCUUUCCUUCUGGAAAGGUUGACUUUAGGUGUGCCAGUAGCCCCUGCUAAUUUCCUGUCACAACAUAUGACCGGGAGAAGCUGAGCAGGAGUGUAUAUCACUGGACAUUUCAUGCUUCGGCAUUUGUGUUCAGUGUUUUAAAGCUAAUGGCAAUGACCCUGGUUGUAUUGUGCCCCUUGACCUCCACCUGGUAAUUCAGUGGUUCUCAACCUUUGGCCAUGACCUAUUUUGGGGGAGUGGUGUCAAAUAACCCUUUCACAAGGAUUGUCUAAGCCCAUCAGAAAACCCAGAUAUUUACAUUACAACUCAUAUCAGUAGGAAAAUUAUAGUUAUAAAGUAUCAUGGAUUAUAAUUUUAUAGUUAGUGGUCACCACACCAUGAGGAACUGCGUUAAAGUGUUGCAGCAUAACUCAAGAGACUAAUUCUCGUGAGAUGAUACUGGUAUCUAGGGAAUAGGGAUUCCAUGUGCUGUUCUAAAAAUGUAUAUGUUUUAUCUUUCUACUUUCUCACUACAAGCCUUAUUUAGCACAUUUUUUAUUUCAUAAAAUAGGUAUCUGCCUACCUCCAAAUUCUUAGAUCUCCUAAGUAAUUCAAUAGAUAUCUGAUGAUGAGAGGUUAAGCUUAAGAAAAGAUUUCCACAGCUAUCAAAUGAUAAAUCCGGUAAACUAUACAUCUUAAAUUCUAUAAAGAAAAUAUGAUUAUCAGAAAUUUUAAUUACCAUUAUAACUCUUACUCUGGAAGAUUAGGUCAAGUCUGAUAGAGUUUUAGCAGGCAUUCCAUCCAGGUGAUGGGUUGUUGAACUGAAUUGCAGAAAAGUCAUCUUGAACUUUGCAGUGUGCCAUCUGAGUACAUAUCACUUUAGUUCAUUAACUUCUUGAUGUUUGGGGAUUUGAAGAGAAGGUCUAAUGUAGUGGAAACUAUCCUUUCCAUUAUGUGUAGCUGGGACCUUGCAUGUGAUAAGACUACAUGAAUGUGCCAAUACAACUGGAUCCAAGUGACUUUUCCCCUCUAGUUCUUAGAGUAAUGGAAUUCUUUAGGCUGGAGUGAGAUGACAAGUCCAGACACACACUAGAUUUCCUAAAAGUUAAUUUUGGUGGUGGAUGUUGUGGGAUAGAGUCAGUUGACAGUGGCUACACUUUUCAACUUCACAUUUUAGUCACAAUGAAAUAUGAUUGUCUAGUAUGGCAAAGAUCCUUUAAAGCAAAAAGCUAAUAGAGGAUAUACCAAGUGUUACCAACCUGAAUAAUUGCACAAGUCUCCAAGAAAGACUGCUUCAGAGAAUUCUCAUGUUCACAUAGCAUAGGUGCUUUGAUUAUGUUAAAAAAAUAUACACACCUUUAUUUUCCAUUUUAAUUAUUCUUAAGAGUGCCAGUGUGUUCUAGUUCUAAGGUUCUUGUAUAUUGAUAAAUAUGUUAAUUACAAAGGCUAAAUGUAGACAUCCCAUAGCUCUGUGAAGCCACAUAAAGCCAUCCAUAUUGUUCCUAUAAUCUAUUCUAGGUCAAGAGGAGAAUCUUUUGUGGGAAAACAAAUCUCUUAUCUUGAAUGCUUUGUGCUCAACAGGAAUUGGGAGUCAAUUCAAGACUAUUUAUAAAAGAAGACUAAGAACCACAAACCAAAGUCCCUGUGUUUUAAUCUUGCCUGGCUUCACGUGCACCUUUAUUUCCUUUCAAAUUUUAUAUAUUUGUGAGUCUCUUUUCAUAUUUCAAAGGAAAGCUAUUGGCUCAGAGUCUGCCUUCCCACUGAAUUUCUCCCACCAUUUUGUAAUUAAAGUCUUGCCAGCUUUUCUACUCAAUUAUUUUUUAAGUAGUUCUACACAACUCUCCAUUGUUGGGUGGUCUAAAUUAUCUUCCAAGGUACCAAUAUUACAUUUGCUGGUGAUUUGCUGUAACAAUUGUAUAUAUUUUGAGUGAUAAUUCCUAGAAUAAUUUCCCCCACAAGCAUUUUUAUUUUAGUUGGGCUAUCUUGCUUUCAAUGUAAGGAUUUUAGAAAGUACAUUUCUUCUAUAUCACUUUAAAAUCAUCAUGGGACAAUGAACAAACUUUAGCUCAGUAACGCAUUAGUUUUCCAGAAUUUACAGUGUGUUGAAUAUUUUGUAAAUUCUGAAGUACUUUCUCAUAGAGUUCAUUUCAUGACUAGAUCACAGCUUGUGAGGGUUUGAUUUUCAUUCUCCCAUUUUGCAAAGCCCACCGAACUGAUUUACCUUGUAAAAGAUGGUUCAAGAAUUCUGACUGGUGUUCAGCAUGGUAUUCAUAUUUCUUCUAUGCUGUACCAGCAAGUACGUAUGCGUUUUACUUUACCACUGAAUCUUUCAAAUGUAGAUUAUUUUUCCCUUAAAAAUAACAAUUUAUGAUGUUAAAAAGAGUAAGCAAAAAUAUCAUUUAGUAGAAAGUCAAUGAGUUGUCUAAGUAUAUAGCAGGAUUGUGUAUUAUACUAAGCCUUCAAUUAAGAGUGCCAUUAAUUUACCAUAGAGCCUCAUUUAGUGUCAUCCUAACACAAGCAUGAUUAUGCUACUUAAUCACAUUCAAGAAUGCAUUUGUUUUAAGCAUAUGGAUUAUUUCUCCUCAAACUUUAUAUAAUUUCAAUCUUGAUUAUAUUUGAUAAAUAGAAUAUCUGUUUUCUAAAUAAGUGAAACAUACAAAAAUACAAUCUAUCUUUAAUCAUUUUUGAAGAGUUACCCUCCCCCAUAUUUUUUCAAUCAUACAUCCUUUCUCCCAUCCUCACUGCCCCCAGAAUUCCUUUCUCUUUCAUACCACCUGUAUUCUAUUCCUUUCUCCCUUAAGUUAAAUACCAAUGACCUUUUGCCAGGUACCUGGUUUCCAUAUAUGUUCCAAAUAAGACACCAAAAAUUCAAAUAUUUGAAGUCAGGAUCCACAUCCACAUAUGAGAGAAAGUAUGUGUUGCUUUUCUCCCUGUUUUACCUCACAGUUAUUUUUCUACUUCUAUUUAUUUGCCUGAAAUUUCAUAAAUUUCAUAAUUUCAUUUCUUUACAGAUAAAUAAUCAUUUUAUAAUAUAUAUAUGUCUGUGUGUAUGUAAUAUGAUAUAUAGUAAAUAUUUAUAUCACACUUUAAUAUAUAUAUAUCAUAUUAUAUACAUACACAUACAUAUACAUAUAUAUAUCAUUACCAGUUCAUUAAUUGAUUGGCAUGUAGUUUCACUCCACUAUUUUUUGCCACUGCAAAUAGAGUAGUCAAAUGAAGGAUGGUAUUCAAAACUCAUAUGAAAAUGUAGUCCUUUGUAUAUUAAUCAAAAAUAGAAUUUAAAGAGUCUAGUUUAAAGGGAUAAACCCUUUAUUGCUAGAUAGUGCUGCUUCUAGAAGCAGCAGGUUCCUAGACAAAAAUCUCAAUCCCAAAUUCAGGGAAGCUCCAUAUACAUUGUUGGUUAGGGAGGCCCCAGAGACACCAAAAGAAAACAGGUUCUUGCUAUUAUGCUUGUAGUUGCCUAUGAGAACUAGGUCCCUCUGCUUAGAAAGCAUCUCACAUCUUGGUUGCACAC